rnacentral:lncRNA from 1 species
GGGUGAACAUGUUUUUGUAGAUAUGUCAACCCCUAUUAUACUAAUUUAAAAAACAGAAAUCGUUAAUGACCUCUAGAAAGAAGGAUUAUGAUUUGGUCUACAUCUCUGUGGGGCUAGGGCGGGUGGGAAAGUUGGUGACGAUGAAUACAUUAGGUUUAUUGAUAAAUUAUCAACUCGAUUAUUAAUCUUUCCACUUAAGUAAUUAUUUUCAGGAGAUAUUUAAAUAUCUAAUUAAGAUGUUACUUAAACGAAUACAAAGUAUGUAAGUUCAUACUUUUUUUCUUUUCCGAAACUGAUAUGUAAGUUCAUACUUCUGUUCAGAGGUACGCUUAACUAAAAAUCUUAUUAUCAAUUAGUUUUCAUAAUCACUAGGACAAUAUCGCAGUUAUGAUAUAUUAGAUUUUUAACUAUAUAAUGUUUUAACAUUCUUGAAAUUUUUUAAAACAAAAGUGAAAUCAGAAAACUUUUAAACAAUGGCUAAGCCGAGGACAGUCACAUAGUAUGAA